CAUGGUCUUUAUUUUAACUUAUGUUUCUGAACUUAAUAUUAUUAGAGCUAAGAGGCAUCUUCAUCUACUACAUUCCCAUAUUGAUCUACUCUAGGAGGGAGAGAGAGGACCUCCUAGGUUGGGGGAGUUCUUCUGACAUAGGGAUGCGUGGAGGAAGCAGUCAAUGGUCGACAACCAGAUGUGCCACGCCCUCUUGAGCCUCGACAUCGCUCUUGUUGCCUUUGGCGUCUAUCGCGUCGGCGAGGCCAUCUACAGCCGCAUUAGUGAAGUUGAAGGCGGGAUCCUCAAGCAACUAUGCUUUGAGGUGAAAGUAGAUAUGGCGGAAGGAUGACUUCACACCCCCUCCGGCCCUUCUGCACACGGUGUACGCUAUGCCAGUGGAAGCAACGAAGCCACGAAGACAACAUAGGAGGGAGAGAGGGAGAGGACCUUGUAGGGCAUUGGGGGGUUCAUGGGAGGCUUUAAAGGGCCAAAUCGAUCCGACCACUUGAACCAUUCCAGUUCUUGACCGGUUUGGCUUGGCACGGCUCAAACUAUCCGGUUCAGGUCGGUUCGACCUUCCUUGCUAAGAAGGUUUUAGAAGAUUGCUUAUGGCUUGCAUGCACUUAAUAAAUUACAUGUGUACAACUUAGGCACUCCUCCCUGUCCGCCAAUUGGCUAUAAAGGUUUCAUGGAAAACUUAUGUCAUGCAAGCUUUUGUCGUCUGGUUGACAACCGAUCAUAAAAUCUGUUCAAUCUAUUGAGCCUUCUCAACUAAAACCGUUUUCUAUAGUAGACCCCAUAUUAAGUUAAAUUAAGCUUAGUCUGCGUGGUCUUUAUUUUAACUUAUGUUCCUAAACUUAAUAUUAUUAGAGCUAAGUGGCAUCUUCAUCGACUACAUUCCCAUAUCGAUCUACUCUAGGAGGGACAGAGAGGACCUCCUAGGUUGGGGGAGUUCUUCUGACAUAGGGAUGUGCGGAGAAAGCACUCAAUGGUCGACAACCAGAUGUGCCACGCCCUCUCAAGCCUCGGCAUCGCUCUUGUUGCCUUUGGCGUCUACCUCGUUGGCGAGGCCAUCUACAACCGCAUUAGUGAAGUUGAAGGCGGGAUCCUCAAGCAACUCUGUCUUGAGGUGAAAGUAGAUCUGGCGGAAGGUUGACUUCACACCCCCUCCGGCUCUCCUAUUCACGGUGUACGCCAUGCCUGUGGAAGCAACCAAGCAGCGAAGACAACACGAGAGGGAGUGAGGGAGGGAGAGGACCUUGUAGGGCAUUGGGGUGGGGGGGGGGCAUGGGAGGCUUUAAAGGGCCGAACCGAUCCGACCACUUGAACCAUUCUAGUUUUUGACUGGUUCAGUUUGGCACGGCCUGAAUUGCCCGGUUUAGGUUAGUUCGACCUUCCUUGCUAGGAAGAUUUUGGAAGAUUGCUUAUGGCCUUGCAUGCACUUAAUAAAUUACAUGUGUACAUCUUAGGCACUCCUCCCUGUCCGCCAAUUGGCUAUAAAGGUUUCAUGGCAAGCUUAUGUCAUGCAAGCUCUUGUUGUCUGGUUGACAACCGAUCAUAAAAUCUGUUCAAUCUAUUGAGCCUUCUCGACUAAAACCGUUUUCUAUAGUAGACCCCAUAUUAAGUUGAAUUAAGCUUAGUCUGCGUGGUCUUUAUUUUAACUUAUGUUUCUAAACUUAAUAUUAUUAGAGCUAAGAGGCAUCUUCAUCUACUACAUUCCCAUAUUGAUCUACUCUUUUACUCUACUUAAAUCUUUGAAGAUAUUUAAUCAGUCUAGCCAAAGUUACAACCUACGUGUUACAACUAUUUUUUCACUACUUUAUAUGUAUAUUAACCCCAUUUACCUGAUGUCAUAUCCUCUAAUACAUUUU
rnacentral:lncRNA from 1 species